rnacentral:rRNA from 1 species
GAUGAACGCUGGCGGCGUGCCUAACACAUGCAAGUCGAGCGAUUCUCUUCGGAGAAGAGUGGCGGACGGGUGAGUAACGCGUAGAUAAUGUGCCCUCUUGCGGGGGAUACCGUUUCGAAAGGAACGUUAAUACCGCAUAACACCCUUGGUGGGCAUCCAUCGAGGGUCAAACUUCCGGGGCGGGAGGAGCAAUCUGCGUUCUAUCAGGUAGUUGGUGAGGUAAUGGCUCACCAAGCCUACGACGGAUAACUGGUCUGAGAGGAUGAUCAGUCACACUGGAACUGAGACACGGUCCAGACUCCUACGGGAGGCAG